UACAGAGGGGGCAAGCGUUGUUCGGAAUUACUGGGCGUAAAGGGCGCGUAGGCGGCCUGUUAAGUCGAACGUGAAAUCCCCGGGCUCAACCCGGGAACUGCGUCCGAUACUGGCAGGCUUGAAUCCGGGAGAGGGAUGCGGAAUUCCAGGUGUAGCGGUGAAAUGCGUAGAUAUCUGGAGGAAUACCGGUGGCGAAGGCGGCGUUCUGGACUGCAACUGACACUGUAAAACGAAAGCCAGGGGAGCAAACGGG
rnacentral:rRNA from 1 species